rnacentral:rRNA from 1 species
CCCGGUCUUCUUCGUAGGUGAGCCUGCGGAGGAUCAUUA